rnacentral:rRNA from 1 species
GGGUCAGUAGGUUGGUCGUGCCACCGGUACGUACUGGUCUCACUGACUCCUCCUUCCUGAAGAACCGUAAUGCCAUUAAUUUGGUGUUGCGGGGAAACAGGACUGUUACUUUGAAGAAAUUAGAGUGUUUAAAGCAAGCUAACGCUUGAAUACAUUAGCAUGGAAUAAUGAAAUAGGACGAUCGAUCCUAUUUUGUUGGUUUCUAGGAUUGACGUA